GUUUACUAUAUUCCGAGCA
rnacentral:snRNA from 1 species